UUUAUGGAGAGUUUGAUCCUGGCUCAGGAUGAACGCUGGCGGCGUGCCUAAUACAUGCAAGUCGAGCGAACGGACGAGAAGCUUGCUUCUCUGAUGUUAGCGGCGGACGGGUGAGUAACACGUGGAUAACCUACCUAUAAGACUGGGAUAACUUCGGGAAACCGGAGCUAAUACCGGAUAAUAUUUUGAACCGCAUGGUUCAAAAGUGAAAGACGGUCUUGCUGUCACUUAUAGAUGGAUCCGCGCUGCAUUAGCUAGUUGGUAAGGUAACGGCUUACCAAGGCAACGAUGCAUAGCCGACCUGAGAGGGUGAUCGGCCACACUGGAACUGAGACACGGUCCAGACUCCUACGGGAGGCAGCAGUAGGGAAUCUUCCGCAAUGGGCGAAAGCCUGACGGAGCAACGCCGCGUGAGUGAUGAAGGUCUUCGGAUCGUAAAACUCUGUUAUUAGGGAAGAACAUAUGUGUAAGUAACUGUGCACAUCUUGACGGUACCUAAUCAGAAAGCCACGGCUAACUACGUGCCAGCAGCCGCGGUAAUACGUAGGUGGCAAGCGUUAUCCGGAAUUAUUGGGCGUAAAGCGCGCGUAGGCGGUUUUUUAAGUCUGAUGUGAAAGCCCACGGCUCAACCGUGGAGGGUCAUUGGAAACUGGAAAACUUGAGUGCAGAAGAGGAAAGUGGAAUUCCAUGUGUAGCGGUGAAAUGCGCAGAGAUAUGGAGGAACACCAGUGGCGAAGGCGACUUUCUGGUCUGUAACUGACGCUGAUGUGCGAAAGCGUGGGGAUCAAACAGGAUUAGAUACCCUGGUAGUCCACGCCGUAAACGAUGAGUGCUAAGUGUUAGGGGGUUUCCGCCCCUUAGUGCUGCAGCUAACGCAUUAAGCACUCCGCCUGGGGAGUACGACCGCAAGGUUGAAACUCAAAGGAAUUGACGGGGACCCGCACAAGCGGUGGAGCAUGUGGUUUAAUUCGAAGCAACGCGAAGAACCUUACCAAAUCUUGACAUCCUUUGACA
rnacentral:rRNA from 1 species